CAUUAAGAAGCUAUACACCAGCGCUAGCCUUUUAAGCUAGAG
rnacentral:tRNA from 1 species